AUAAAGUUUAAUUUUGGCUUAUUAAUUUAUUAUAUUUUUUGUUUACAUGUAAAUUUAAGUGUGAAUUUAAAUAUAAUUUAAAUAAUUAUAUUUAAAAAUUUUAUUCGCAGUAUUAAAUUUUAUUGAUUUAGUAAUUUGAGAAUUAUAAAAAAAUUAUAGUAUUGACAAAAUUUGUGCCAGCAGUUGCGGUUAUACAAAAAAUACAAGUAAAUUUUAUUGGUUAGUAAUAAAAUUGAUUUAUUUUAAUUAAAAUUAAUUAUAUAAAGUGAAAUUUAAUAAUUAAAAUAUUUAUUAUGAAAUUGAUUGAGUUUAUUAAAUUUAAAUUUUAAACUAGGAUUAGAUACCCUAUUAUUUUAAAUGUAAAUUUGUAUUCCAAAGUAGUACUAGUUAUGUUCUUAAAAUUUAAAGAUUUUGGCGGUAUUUUAGUCUAUUUAGAGGAACCUGUUCUAUAAUUGAUAGUCCACGAUAAAUUAUACUUUAUUUAAUUAGUUUGUAUAUCGUCGUUAUUAAGUAUUUUAAAAGAAAUUAAAUAUUUAAUAUUUUUUAAGAAAAUAUAUUUCAGAUCAAGGUGCAGUUUAUAAUAAAGUAGAAAUGGGUUACAAUAAAUUUAUUUAUACGAAUUUAUUUAUUAAAAUAAUAAUGAAGGUGGAUUUAAUAGUAAUAAAAUUUAUAUAUAUUUUAUGGUUUUAGCUCUAAAAUGUGUACAUAUCGCCCGUCGCUCUUAUUAUAAAGUAAGAUAAGUCGUAACAAAGUAGAUGUACUGGAAAGUGUAUCUAGAAAGU
rnacentral:ncRNA from 1 species